GAAGAGUUACCGAGGGUGGGAGAGAGACAGUUCUGCCGAGGCUUGUUCCUGCUGCUCCUGGUCGCUGUCAGUAUUACAGCGGAGUUCAGAGCUACCGGAGGUCCCGUGGAUAAUUAGGCUACUCUACAGUCUGACCGAAAAAAACGUCUAACUGACAACAGUAGCAGAAACUUCCCACCCUAUACCUCUGUUUUCCCCAGGAGCUGGACACAAGCUAAUUGAGACGAUGCUUUUCUGUCUGCUGCCUUUCGCGGCUCUCUUGCUGCGUGCGGAGGGCAGGCGCGGGGGAACCGUGGUUGGUAACAAAAACAUUGGCCACGCGUUGGACAACGACAAAUGGCUCAGCACCGUGUCUCAAUACGACAAGGACAGAUAUUGGAACAAAUUCAGAGAUGACACUGGAUGAUAGUGAUGUGCGGUUCGCCAACCAUUUGUUCAUUUUGACCUAAUCUUUUUACUGACUCGAGUCAUCCCAGCAAAAUUGGUUCUGUGAUGGUUCCCAGAACAUCCAUUCAUCAUAACACAAAAACUGUCCAGUCGUGGUGAUGAUUAUAGAAUGUUUGUGUAAAACUGACGUCGCAAGAACCUUCCUGGAACACAUUUAAUCCGUUUUUUUUAAAGGAUCCCAGAAUGUUUCAUUAGGUUGUGGGAACAGUCUGGUGGGAACAUUGUGGGGACAUCACAAAAGAUAGGUUCUCAAAACCCCCAAAUAUCCAGUUGUCCGGAUGAUUAUACAAUGUUUCUUUUAGGGUGCAAAGACAUUCAUCUGGUCUUACAAGAACGUUCCCAGAACACAUUUAGUCUAUUCUUUAAAGGUUCCCAAAACGUUUCAUUAGGUUGUGGGAACAGUGUGGCGACAUUGCACGAGAUAGUUUCCCAAAACACAAAAUAUGCUCACUUCUGAUGACGUUCAUACAAUGUUUAAGUUAGUUUACACAGGUCAUUCCCUUAAUGUUGUAAGUCUGUUUUUAUAUAUCCAGUCAGAAAUGCAGAAUUUAGACUAACUGUAAAAGAUAAAACAUUGUGUAAAAUUGACUGGAUACCUUGUAAAUAUGGGCCUAGAAGUAUGCAGCACAUAGAGGAUGGGUGAAGGGAUGGUGAAUAACCCACUUUCCAGUAUUUCCCUGGGUUAUUUAUGUCUAAGAAAGCUAAAAAGGUAGCAUGCAAUUCCUGAUUGACCAUACUGCCAUGGCUAUAUACUGCCAAAAGAUAAAGAAGGAGAGCUUCCCUGGUGGUGCAGAGGAUAAAAGACCUGGCAUGGGAACCAAACAUUGCAGGUUCAAGCCCUACAUGUGAAUUUUAUCAAUAAAACAUCUGCUUGUGUUUGUAUGAUUUAAAUGCUGUUCAAAAGUCCUAUGAAUUAAAUUACAGUACCUUCAGAAAGUACUAACACCCCUUGAC